rnacentral:rRNA from 1 species
CAGCCCUAAACGGUGCGCGUUAGGUGUAUCGGUGACCACGAGUCACCGAGGUGCCGAAGGGAAACCGUGAAACGUGCCGCCUGGGAAGUACGGUCGCAAGGCUGAAACUUAAAGGAAUUGGCGGGGGGAGGCACCACAACGGGUGGAGCCUGCGGUUUAAUUGGACUCAACGCCGGGAAUCUCACCGGAUAAGACAGCGGAAUGAUUGCCGGGCUGAAGACUCUGCAUGACUAGCUGAGAGGAGGUGCAUGGCGUAGACGUCU